GCGUCGGUGUUUUAGUGGUAAGAACGUAUCGAUCCUACCGAGUGAUCGUAAGGCUUAGACAAGAGGGAAAGACCCUUGGAGCAAGCGCCCCCGUUGAAUACGGGCCCGGCAGUGGGACUCUGGAGAAUCGAUGAGACCUGGGUUCAAGUCCUAGCCGAUGCU
rnacentral:tRNA from 1 species